AUUGAACGCUGGCGGCAGGCCUAACACAUGCAAGUCGAACGGUAACAGGAAGCAGCUUGCUGCUUUGCUGACGAGUGGCGGACGGGUGAGUAAUGUCUGGGAAACUGCCCGAUGGAGGGGGAUAACUACUGGAAACGGUAGCUAAUACCGCAUAACGUCGCAAGACCAAAGAGGGGGACCUUAGGGCCUCUUGCCAUCGGAUGUGCCCAGAUGGGAUUAGCUAGUAGGUGGGGUAACGGCUCACCUAGGCGACGAUCCCUAGCUGGUCUGAGAGGAUGACCAGCCACACUGGAACUGAGACACGGUCCAGACUCCUACGGGAGGCAGCAGUGGGGAAUAUUGCACAAUGGGCGCAAGCCUGAUGCAGCCAUGCCGCGUGUAUGAAGAAGGCCUUCGGGUUGUAAAGUACUUUCAGCGGGGAGGAAGGGAGUAAAGUUAAUACCUUGGCUCAUUGACGUUACCUGCAGAAGAAGCACCGGCUAACUCCGUG
rnacentral:rRNA from 1 species